UUUCUCUUUUUGAUGAGGACAUUUUGUUUGAAAUCCCUGUGGCACCAUGACUGGGAAAGCUGUACCACGUGUGAAUCUUUUUUCACCUUUUCCCUUCAAAGGAAAAGAAGGCAAAAGAGAGGAGGUGCUACCGGCCUUUGAUAAGAUUGUCAGGUGGACUACCUGUAACCUUGUCCUCCAAUUCCUUACCGGUCGGUUCCCUGGGGCUAUUUUCAAAUACUGAUUCAUAGGGAUCUAGAGUCAAAAUGUAUCUAUCUGCUCUUCCUCUCUCUUGAACUCUGGAACAACUACGUAUAAUACAUUGCUAAUUAUUACCUUUCCGGGAUAACAUAUUUUUGUAAGCUACUUAUAGCUUUUUAAGAAGUCACCAAUGACCUACUAGCAGAAACUUGAGAUUCAUUCAGAGGGAGGCAUUUUUCGUAAGAAUAACUUUUAGUGGUCUGCUCUUGAAAAAGGCUGGUCUCUUGGAGAGAAUUGCCAUUUUUGAACCUAGAGGCCUAUUCUGCUGCCCCCAUUGCUUACAUUUGCAUAUAUCACGGAACUUAUUUCUGGGUUUCAUGAAACUGCUGCCUACACAGCCAAUCUGCCACUUCUCCUGACAGAGGCCUCUGUGCACAAGUGUGUACAACACACACACACACACACACACACACACACAGAGGGCAGGGCUGGCCGUGCUUUCCCACAAAUCCAGAUUCCAAAGAAGAAUACUGAGAUGCUCCAGGGUCCCCUUAGAAGAAGGGUGACUAAAAAGCAACAAGACUCUAGUGAGCAGAAGUCUCUGAGCUGGUGCUGAUCUCAGGGAAGGCGAAUGUGGAUGCAAGAAGUUGGGAGAGAGCUUUUCAAGAAAUGAGGAAAGACUUCCAGGCAGCAAAGCUUUCUAAUCCCACCUGACGCUCCCCAAGUUAUCCGGAGCAGCUUCAUGGAGAAGAACGCACUGUUCGCAGCAGCCAAGAUUUGGAAGCAACCUAAGUGUGCAUCAACAGAUGAAUGGAUAAAGAAAAUGUGGUACAUAUACACAAUGGAAUACUAUUCAGCCAUAGAAAAGAAUGAGGUCCUGUCCUUUGCAACAACGUGAGUAUAACUGGAGGUCAUCAUAGUUAAGUGAAGUAAGCCAGGCACAGAAAGAUAAACAUCAAAUUUCUCACUUAUUUAUGAAACCUAAAAAUUAAAAUAAUAGAACUCAUGGAGAUAGAUAGUAGAAGGAUGGUUACCAGAGACUGGGAAGGGUAGUAGGAUACUAGGGGGAGGUAAGGAUGGUUAAUGGUACAAAAACAAGCAGGAAAAAAAAUGAAAAGAUCUAGUGUUUGAUAGCACAACAGGGUGACUGCAGUCAAAAUAAUUUAAAUGUACAUUUUUAAAUAAUUAAAAGAAUAUACUUUGAAGUAUUAGAUUCUAGAUAAGGCCUGGGGACAUGUGGGUUAGCCAUGCCCCUAGCUAUGUUGGAAAGAGUCAGACCUUAUCUGCACUUUUGUCUGAUGUGCUGGGUUCCACACAAUCCGUUACUAACCAGGUUUUUCACCAAAAGUAAAAGCUGCUAAGAGUUAACAUGGUAACAUAUAUCCAAGACUACUAAAGAAACUGUUCUACAUGCAAGGCAUGCAAGGAAAGCAGAAUAUACUUUUAGUAAAAGAUUAUAAGAAGGCAAAGGAAUGUGGAUUGCUUGCUUAAGUUUAGAGGGCUAAAAGAUUGUUUUAAGUGAGGUAGAAAAUAUCUAAAUGUUUGAACAAGUUGUGGAAGGUUUAUAAAAAAUUAAUUGUAAAAGACAUUCUGUGUGUGAACGUAUUUGCUAAACUUAAAGGGGUAUUCAGUUUUUCUGUAAAUUGAAUAUUAAAAUUAAGGUUUUUCUUAGAGCACUGAUCGGCUCUAAUGAAAAUUGUAACGGGUUACGAAAGGUUUAUGAGAAUCUUAUGGUUAAACUGAUUAAGAUUGGAUAGAUUUGUCUAUAAGGUUUUUUUUUGUUGUUUUUUGUUUUUUUUGAGACAGAGUUUUGCUCUUGUUACCCAGGCUGGAGUGCAAUGGCGCAAUCUCGGCUCACUGCAACCUCCACCUCCUGGGUUCAGGCAAUUCUCCUGCCUCAGCCUCCUGAGUAGCUGGGAUUACAGGCACGCGCCACCGUGCCCAGCUAAUUUUUUUGUAUUUUUAGUAGAGACGGGGUUUCACCAUGUUGACCAGGAUGGUCUCGAUCUCUCGUGAUCCACCCGCCUCGGCCUCCCAAAGUGCUGGGAUUAUAGGCUUGAGUGUCUAUAAGGUUUUAUUAAGAAUUGGGGUUGAUGUUAAUAGUACACUAAUGCAAAGCGUGAAAUUUGGCUUAUUUAUUAUAAAGAUCACACAGAAAGUAUUGUCAAAUAUGAAAUGGUGUUUGGCUUUCUUUGAGCUGUAUUUGUAUAAAUAUGUUACUGGUAUAUGUUCAAAAAUAGUGGGAAAGUCCUAUAAUUCUGAUGAUUUAGUGCAUGUGAUCAUUAAUAAUUGUUACACAAAAUCAUUGUAUGUCACAAAGGUAAAAAAGAAGAGAAAAAGAAAACAGUGUAGCAUUGCCUGGUAAAUAGAGCACAUGUCUACCCUCGGGUCUGCAAUUUCACUUCUCGAAAAUCCUGCACAUAUGCGCUGGAAGACAUUUUCAUGGGAGUAUUGACCAUGCCGGCAAAAAUGAAUAGAUAUAUGUGUGUGUGUGUGUGUGUGUGUGUGUGUGUGUGUGUGUGUGUGUGUGUAUGCUACCAGAGGUAAUCCAGAUGUCUAAUGUAACACAACAGAUAGACACAUUUUGAGAUUGUCACAAAAUGAACUAUACACUGAAGAAGUUGAAUGAACUAUAGCUUUACACAAUAACAUGCACGAUCUGAAACCAUAAGGGAGAGUGCAAAAGGCAAAUUCAUGGAGGAGUCAAUUCAGUGGGAUUGCAUUUUUGUAAAUUCAAAAAACUAACACUAAACAAUACAUUGAAGAAGAAUACCUGUGUAGGUGGUAAAAUGAAAAAGAGAAGCAAGUUAAUGAAUAAAACUCUCUUGUUAUACUGAGAUUGUCAGGUUGGAUGUUUUAAAAAUCCAGUUAUAUGGUAUUUACAAGAGCCACAUAUAAAACAGGAAGGCAUUAAAAAAAAGCUGAAAAUAAAGGGAUGAAUACAGACACAGACAAAUAGUAGACAUUGUCCAAUUCACAUUCUCUGCUUAGCUUGGUACUAAAUAUCCAAUUCAUUUCAUUUUCUCUACCUUAAAAAUGUAGAUAAUGUUCUCAUUGUUAUGGAUAAGGAGACCUAGAUUAAAGCGAUUAAGUAACCUACCCAUAGUUUCCAAACUGGUCCCUAAUAGAAGUGCUAUUCACACCUAAUUCUCUUUCCACAGUACCAAGUUGCUCCUCCUCAGACACAGCUGACCCUAUCUCAGCAUUCUUGGAAGGUUGAGGGAGAGUAACAGAGGGACAAAAUUUUAUCUGAAAAUGUUGGGCUGUAUGGUUGUCACACCUAUUGACACAAGUAGGGAUGGACGUAAAAGCACAAAUAAUUAAAAAGGCCUUUUUGACAGGAAAGGGUGGCUCCUACAGCCAAGGUGAGUCUGUGGCCCAAAAAGACAGCAGUAGGAGAACAAAGUAUUGGUGCACAGGGGGCAGACAUAGAAAUGGGACUCCAGCUUCUUUUCCUACAGCAGCAGUGCUCUAAGUUUUUGAUAUUAGAAGUCUUUUACACUCUUAAAGAUUACUUAGACCCUAAAACACAUUUGUUUACAUGUAUGUCAAAUAGUGUAGUCCAAUAAAGUAUAUACUAGUAUAUUCUACGCUAUGUUAGAAAUUACAGCUGAUACUUUUAAAACAUGAGAAUACACAACACACAUUCCAUUAACCUUCAGCUAAGAUGCUGAGAGUGUAAUAUCUCAUUUUUUUGAGAAAUUUUGGUAAGAGAUGUAAGAACAUUAAAAUUAAUGCCUUUUUCCGUGAAUCCAUCCAAGAGUCUAGCAUAAGGAAUAAUGAAACAGUUCCUGUGGGUGUGUGUGUGUGUGUGUGAAAGAGAGAGAGAAGACAAUUCUCAAAGGAAGCAACAAAUAUGACAACAGUAAGUGAUAGAUUGAAUGUACCUGGUAAUAUAGAGUAAAAUGCUUAUGUUGCAUUCUGGUUCCACCACUUAGGAAAAUUAACAUCGAUGUCCUCAUCUGUAAAAUGGGAAUAAUUACAAUACCUGCUUCAUUCAUAUGGGUGAUGUGCAUAUACAAUGAGAUUAUCCAUACCAAAUACUUAGCACAGUUCCUGGCAUGUAAUAAGUGCCCAAUAAAUGUUAAAUAUUUUUACUACCAUUGCAUGUUAAAUAGCAUUCAGUUAUGCAAGCAAUUAGAAUGUUACAGAAUUAAAAUUAUUUACAUGAAAACACAUUCACAGUUAUUAAGUAAAAUGUUAACAAGACAGCAUAUACGACCUUUUAUUUUUGUAAAGAACAAAAUUUAUCAAAAAUUCUGCAAAAAUAUACAUAUGUUUUCUAACAGUGAGGAUUACAGGUUACUUGUAUCUUUUUUCUUUUUUGUAUAUUUUUCUUCUCUGGAGGUAACUUGUGUAAUAAAGUGUUUUUCUUAGGAA